GAAGAUCGAUGUUCAUGGUUGAUCACUGGAUUGUAUGGUCCAGACUCGAUUAUUUACAUACUGCCGCCAUAUAGCUGAAAUAGUAUUGAGUGCGGCGUAAAAAAAACCUCACUCACUAUUGGAUUGAGUGUCUGCUUAGAGAAGGGAAAGUCAGUGGUUUGAACCUUUCAGAGUAAAUUCUAAUCUUUAUUUAGUGUUCUGGUUGGUUGGCUCCUCAGUCAAAUCCAUAAACCAGAAACACAAAACGUGUGGCCCAAUACCCUUGUCUUUCUCGUACCCCCACCAGAUAUAGCUGUGGAUCGUCACAAACCCAUGUCUGCCACUUUGUGAUAGCCUACACAUUUCAUUGUGUGGUAAACUAGUAGCUUCAAUGCUUGUACCAAUUUGAAAGAACUGUAUUUUGGCAAGGAGUUGGCAACAGAGCAUUGUACAAAGGGAAAAUAAAGUUUCAUGAGAACCAAUUAUGCAAAUGCAGAUAGUUUAGUAGGUCGUCUAAUAUGUCCUCUGCCUUUCGUUGCCUUCACAACAUGACAGUGGUAACUGUUUAUUGUACAUUGGCAACAAGACAAGGUUAGUUUUUGGUAUGUCAGUGAUCUUAAAUGAUCAUUAGAACAGGAAAUAUUGCUGAACAAUUUGCCAGUUUUCAUCCCGUAUGUGGAGAACACGAGACAUUAUGUAUAGGUUUGUCUUCAUAUUAAUGAGAAUUGGGAAAGCUUGUGCUAUUACUUUUUAAACAAUAAAUAUCCGGAACCAUUUUGCCAUUCAAAGUUUUAUUGUAGGAGAGACUUCAUCUCCAUUUCUGUGGUCACCAAAUCAGCAGAUAUGUUCUCUUGUAUAUAUACAGUUUAUUAGAGUGGGUGGCUAACUUAAUGUUGGGCUAGUGUCUCAGUAUGUAAGGACUUUGUCCGUGCAAGGAGCAGUUCAGCUAAGUGUAGAAGCCCUUAUUGUAAGGACUAUGUCCGUGCAAGGAGCAGUUCAGCUAAGUGUAGAAGCCCUUAUUGUAAGGACUAUGUCCGUGCAAGGAGCAGUUCAGCUAAGCGUAGAAGCCCUUAUUGUAAGGACUAUGUCCGUGCAAGGAGCAGUUCAGCUAAGUGUAGAAGCCCUUAUUGUAAGGACUAUGUCCAGUGCAAGGAGCAGUUCAGCUAAGCGUAGAAGCCCUUAUUGCAAGGACCAUCUCUCCAUGAAGGGCUGCUAAUUGUAGAAGCACACAUGGGUAAAUUGUAAGUAGUAUAUUAUUAACAUUUACAUGAUCAUCUUGUGUAAGUAGAAGAGUUACAUUGCCUUGGUGAUGCCUCUGAUUGUUGGAAGCCAAGACCAGUGCUGUGAAUUCACCAAAAUGAUAUUUAAUUCGUUAGCAUCAUUUUGGUGAGUGUUUUCUGUCGCAUCUCACUAUCACAGUUCCAAAACUGCUUCAAACCAAAUUCACUCACUGACUCACAAUAUGUAUAUAUGCAGGGUCGUCACGAUAUGGCUGAGAUAUUGCCGAUGUGACGUUAAAUAUUAACUCACUCACUCACUAUAUCUGCAGGAAAGGGCAGUGUACAGUCCAUUUUAGGGUCUGCACUUUGUUCCUUAUAAGUCUGAAGGAGAAGCAACAGUGAGAAUUCAGUUUUUCUUACCAUAAGUAUUAUUCUGUCAUUUAACUAUUGGCUGAGAUCUUUAUAAUCAUUCUUACUGUAUUUUUUUAAUUUUAAUAGGUUAUUUAUGGAUGUAAAUGACUCGGGUUUGGCAUCACCACAAAUAUGUUGAAAUGGGCAUUGAGUUUAGCAUCAACACAAUUACAGUGAUUAUAAUUAAUUUCUAUGAUAUACUUGUUUUAGAUUUCAAGAUAUAUACCAUUUAUCAGGUAUCUUGUCAAUCAUACUCAUGUGAUAAGAAAUACUAUGAUGUAUAUUUCAUCACAACCCAAUUUUCUGUCAUUCCAGUAAAACAUUAUGAAUUAUUCUUCUAUUCUUAAGGGAUGGUAUGCAUGAGAUGCAUUUGUUUUGUUUUAUAAUUUAUCAGAAAUUGAAAUCAAUAAAAGAUUGUUCACUGGAUAUGCAGGAUGUUCUGAUGUGUUUCAAGAACAAAUUGUUUGACUCUUUUCAAAGAAAACAUUUUGUUUUUAAGCACUUACUGCAAAAAUUAUAUAUUGCUUAAAAGAAGUUACAGAACACUGAUUUAAUUUUAAUAUGACUGUAGUUAAUCUAUCAUGACCAUGACAGAAUCGGGGCAGUGGGGUAGCCUAGUGGUUAAAGCGUUUGAUCGUCACGACGAAGACCCGGGUUCAAUUCCCCACAUGGGUACAAUGUGUGAAGCCCAUUUCUGGUGUCCCCAGCCGUGAUAUUGCUGGAAUAUUGCUAAAAGCGGCGUAAAACCAAACUCACUCACUCAUGACAGAAUGUAUACAGUCAUAUUUAAAGCAUCAGGUUUUACAGCUUCCUUUGAGAACUAUCCCUUUAAAAAAUCUCAGACCCUGAUUGGGCCCUUAAAGCCUCUAGAAUUACCUCCCUUUAAGAGAAUAUCAGCUAUGGCCUUGUAUUUAAACAAGUCUGUUUAGUUGCCUUUGAGCUCUCAGUCCGUCCUAUUGGGAAGUAAUAUUACAUGUAGUAGUUUCUGGAUAGGAUAACUUGUUUAUACUAUUGUGUCUUUUCCAGUAAGUGAUCCUCUGCCCAAGUGUCUCAUCAUUGACUUUAAGACAUGUAUUUCGAAGUGUCUUGCUAUAAUUUUCACUGUCUAUACUUAAUGUUGUUGUCAUGUUUACUUACAAAAUUCGUCUUUGCCCCUAAAAUGUGUCUGUUUUCACAACACUGCAUUGAACAUCAGAAAGGUUAUCCGAUUAAAGUUAUUGAUGUUCAAGGGUCACUAUUCCUCCACAAAUCUGAAAUAGCCAUCUGAGUGAGUGAGUGAGUGAGUAUGGUUU